rnacentral:lncRNA from 1 species
AUAUCUACUUUGCAAAAACUCUAUGGAAGCAACAGAAUUGAACAAAAGAGUUCCUUACCAUGGGGUGUUUAUAACCCUAUCUUGAGACACACUUGUAAAAAAAUUAAUAUAAGGCCAAUUGAUAUGAAUGCUGUGACAGACACAAUGAAGGAUUCUGGAAGCAUUAAGGAAGGAGAGACUAAUCCCAGCUGGGGUGGAACAUAACUGGCUCUCCAUGUGGCAGAUUCACAUUAACCAAGCUCUGAGAAAUUAUCUACAAAUCUGCAAUUCAACGUUACUGUUUUUCAAGGACAACUUUCUGACAAGGGUCUAGACACUUCUUUGGUUGUAUAUGAGCUUACUACAGUACCUUUAAACUGAUACCUGACACUUCCCCAAAUGAGAUUAUAUUUUAUGAUGAAUAUUUCUCAAAAUACUUCAUAAUUAUCAUGCUUACAGAUUUCAUAAGGCAAGAGAAAAGGCAGUGAGUGGUUUAAUGGAUACAGUCCAAAGGACAAAUUUAUUUCUAAAAAUGAACAAGGGUUGGCAAGCCUUUUCUGCAAAGGGCCAGAUAGUGAAUAUUUUCGGCUUUGCAGGCUAUAAGAUCUGUCCCAACUACUCCACAAUGCUGUCUUAGAUUAAAAGCAGCCACAGGCAAUACAUAAAUGAUAUGCAUAGCUGUGUUCCAAUAAAACUUUAUAAAAACAGGUAGAGAGCUGCAUUUGGUUUGAGGACCAUAGUUUGCUGACCUCUGACUUAAAAUAAAGGAAAGAGACUAGGAACAUUUGAUAAAAAAGAUCCCGCUAGUAUCGUAUUGUGCAUUGCGCAGAGAGAUAAAGGUGAAAAAGACGCAGUCUAAAGUCCGGUGUAGUACGGGAAAUCAGUAAGAAAAUAAUCAGAAUAUGAGGCAAAAAGGAGUGAGUGCCUUAAGUGAGGAACAGAUACUUCUGACUUAGAAAAGCCAGAAGGGGCCAGGCGCAGUGGCUCAUGCCAGUAAUCAUAGCCUUUGGAAGUCCAAGGUGGGUGGAUCACAUGAAGCCAGGAGUUCAAGACCAGCAAAACAUGGAGAAACCCCGUCUCUACUAAAAAUACAAAAAUUAGUUUGGCAUGGUGGCGUGCACCUGUAGUCCCAGCCAUUCGGGUGGCUGAGGCACGAGAAUCACUUGAACCCAGUAGGCGGAGGUUGCAUUGAGCCAAGAUUGCACCACUGCAAUCCAGCCUGGGUGACAGAGGAGACUGUCUCAGAGAAAAAAAAAAAAAAAAAAGCCAGAAGGCAUAGGGUCUGCUCACCUGGAGAAAGGAAGAGGCAUUUUAGAAAGGAGGAAUUGUGUAUGGAAAUGAACAUGACAUUGGGCACAGCACUGGCAGGGCACAGGGACAGUUAGAAAGAAAGUUCGUUACUUAGCUAUGGGCCCAUACCUUUCCCUCUCCCUGAGUCCUAGAGCUCCUUAACCAGUACCGUAAGAACGUUCCCCUCCUGCGAGCCUGCAGAAGGUCCCUGGCUCUUAUCAGAUGAGAUCAUAUUGAAAUACAGUCUAGCAAGACCAAUUCUAAUAAUGAGACUGGACUCCCUCACUUUGCACUUGUAUUCCAAAUGGACCAAAAUGCCUUUUGUAGCCUAGAAUAACCAGAGUAAAAAGGCCCUGCAUUGAGGUUCUCCCAAUGUCACUUAUAUGUCACAAGUACCUUUGCCCCAAAUAAGUAUCUUUACACUUAGUAAAGCUAACGGGUGCAGUGUGAGAAAGCUAGUCAUCUCUGGGCAAGGCUAUAGUUCACAUGAUGGUCCAGGAGGCAGGAGGGCUUAGGAUUCUCUAGGCAGGGCUCCCUGUGGUGUUGA